rnacentral:rRNA from 1 species
AUUGAACGCUGGCGGCAGGCCUAACACAUGCAAGUCGAGCGAGAGUGGGACGGGUGAGUGAUAUAUCUGGAACUGCGCGAUAGGGAGGGAUAUCUACUGUAGAAGGUAGCUAAUACCGCACACUAUCGGAUGUGUCCCUAUGGGGUUAGAGAGUAGGGGGGGUAAUGGCUCACCCAGGCGACGAUCCCUAGCUGGUCUGAGAGGAUGAUCAGCCACACUGGGACUGAGACACGGCCCAGACUCCUACGGGAGGCAGCAGUGGGGAAUAUUGCACAAUGGGCGCAAGCCUGAUGCAGCCAUGCCGCGUGUAUGAAGAAGGCCCUAGGGUUGUAAAGUACUUUCAGUCGGGAGGCGUUACCGACAGAAGAAGCACCGGCUAACUCCGUGCCAGCAGCCGCGGUAAUAC